rnacentral:lncRNA from 1 species
GCAUUUAUCUAUAAUCGUUCCAUCUAAAUACUUAAUUUUUUAUUUUUUUAUGAUAAGGUAUUCCAGGCCUACUACAAACAUGGAACUAAUUACUAUUCAAAGAUAACUCAUUCUCUUUAGUGGAGAGACCAAUGUCUGAAUACUAGAAAUACUCAUUGUUUAAUGAGUACUAGUAGCAGAGCAAUGCGAUACAUGGCUACUAACCACGUUAAUGCACCAGGAAAAAAAAAAUUAUGUUCCAUACUGCAUUAAUUUAUAUUUAUAAUUCAACUUAUUUCCAGUUAUUUAAAUUACUUUAUGCUAUUCUCAGAUGAGCACAGGGAAUUAUAUUUGAUCGCUUGUGAUGGAACAUGAUGGAGCAUAAUGUGAAAAAAAGAAUGCAUCCGAAUGUAUGGCUGGGACAUUUUGCUGUGCAGCAGAAAUUGACAGAACAUGGUAAAUCAAAUAUAAUAAAACAAUUUUAAAAGAUAAUUUACUUAUUCUUGUUUUUUUGUUGCAUCCAUUAACUUCAUUUUAUUAUGAUUUCUGCUUUGUCAUUCUAAAUAUCAUCAAACUGGUUUUAUCUCCAAAUUUAAAUGUCCUCCUUUGCCUUUUUAUACAUUUUUGACAAUUACAGAGAUCUUCUAAAAUUAGCACUAAAGUGUUCAAGUUCCAAUGAUCAUUUUUAUCAUCAUGACUAGAGUCAUCCAUCUGAAAUGGAAAAGAAACCCAAGCCUUAUCUAUAAAAUCGCUAAAGAAAAAAAUACAUGUGUAAGCAAUACACAGAGAACACUCAGUGUUUCAGAUUAGAAUUACAUAUUUUUAAAUAUAUAAAAAUAGUAACUAAGAAAACGCAGAAAUUAUAGAGUUUUCCUAACAUUUGUCUGAGUUAGAUCUAAAAUUUUCCUGUAUUACUAAGUAUUUAUAUUUUGUAAUAGGCAGUUUUAGAAAUAAAUUGUUAAAGGGCAUUUUAAGUAUGCAGAUAUUUCCUUAGUAAUGAAUCAAAUCAACUUUCCAAAGGCAAUUAAGAAUGUCAGAAAAUAUACAAAAGUAAUGUGAAAAUGUAUCAGAUUCCUAAAUCUUUACAUAAAUUUCAAUUAACAAGUAUAUGUAAUUUACAUAGUUUUGUAUAGGAUCUGGAAAUUUAACCAAUAAUACAUACCAAAGAAUUUAUACAUUGAUGUAUUUCACUUUAAAUUUCAUAGUCACAUUUUAAAAGAAACUCCUAUCCCUCCACUUUAAUACUAAUUUAUGAAAUUGUUUAUUUUAGACGUUCUCUCCACUGACCUUUAUUUUUUCCUUUAAAAAAUGCAAUACAAGACAUAUACAUGGCUUUGGAGUGAUGUAUAUGGCAAAAAUUCCAAUAUUGCAUCAAUUAAAAAUGUUUUGUCUUUCCAAUUUUGCUUUCUAAGGUAACUGAAUUUAUCACAGAGAAGAAGCUACAAAAUCACACUUUAUCUUGGUAGCACAAGUCAUACAAUUUUUAAAAGCCUCCCAAAUUUGGUAUAUUUUAUCAGGAAAAUCUAACAAGCCCAAAAGUUUUUGAGCUUCCUGCUUACAUGCAAAACAGUUAACAGACGGUAAUUUAUUCUUCACUGCCAGAAGAAAGUCAUAUGUGACUCCUCAGCUGCUCAUACCCUCUAAUUGAACUGCUUCAGAUUAUCUGCUUAGGAGGGCAGAUAUUCUAAAAAGAUCCUUUAAAAAACCGUUUGCAAAUUAUAACUCUAUUGAGACAAAAGAAUUGCCCCUACCUGAUUCCUGUGGGGAGAACUCUUGCUUUAAUAUCCCCAAGGAAUUCGCUGAACAUUAGUUUGAAGUAUGCUGGAUCUACUUCUAACAAAGAAGUGAGUGUCAACAAUUUUUAUUGAUGCAAGGAAAUAGAAUCCAUUGCUCGUUUCCAACCACUAGAGCAGAUGUCAUCCUGAUUUCACCUGGGGAGGCAUGGUGUUUUUAUUAGUCCUUAUCCAAGCCUAGGUCUUCUCCCUCUCUAUCCUACAACCCUCACUUAUCAGAGAGGUGAAGUUGGCAAACUCUUUAUCUGGGUAUUUUAAAAUAAAUUCUUAUUUAUUUAUUUAUUUAUUUAUGCCACACCCACAGCAUAUGGAAAUUUCCAGGCCAGGGAGUUGAAUGGGAGCUACUGCUGCUGACCUAUGCCAAUGCCAGAUCCAAGUCAGUUCCUGCAACCUACACCAUAGCUUAGGGCAACACUGGACACUGGAUCUCCCACCCACACAGAGCAAGGCCAGGGAUCAAACCUGCAUCCUCAUGGAUCCUAGUUGGAUUUGUUUCCACUGUGCCACAGUAGGAACUCCCCUUGCUCUUAUUUUUGAUAAUUCUCUUUAGCUCUUCUAGNUAGGUCUCUUUUUUUUUUUUUUUUUUUUUUUUUUUGUCUUUUUUUGCUAUUUCUUGGGCCGCUCCCAUGGUAAAUGGAGGUUCCCAGGCUAGGGGUCGAAUCAGAGCUGCAGCCACCAACCUACGCCAGAGCCACAGCAACACGGGAUCAUUAACCCACUGAGCAAGGGCAGGGAUUGAACCCACAACCUCAUGGUUCCUAGUCAGAUUCGUUAAUCACUGCGCCAUGAUGGGAACUCCAUAGGUUUCAUUUUCUUUGUGAUCUUAUAAUGAUACAUUUCACCUACAAAUGAUAUAUUGCUUUUCUGUCUAUUUUCAUAUUUUCCCCUGCCUUUAUUAUAUUUUUAAUCUUUCUCAGAAUUUUUCCCCAUUUGUUUAUAUUUAGAAGGAAGACUUCAACAUCUACAUGGUAACAUAAUGCAUAAUCUCACUAUGAGAUUCUAAAUCUACUCAAAAAUUGGCAGGAAGGAGUUCCCAUUGGGUUCAGCAGGUUGAGAACCCAACUAGUUUCAACGAGGAUGAUGCAGGGUUUGAUCCCUAGUCUGGCUCAGUGUAAAGAUCUGGCAUUGCCUCAAGCUAUCUGGUGUGGCUGUGGCUGUGGUGUAGACUGGCAGCAGCUCUGACUCAACCCCUAGCCUAGGAGUUUCUAUCUUCUGUAUGCUGCAAGUGCAGCUGUAAAAGGGGGGAAAAUGUGGGAAAAGAAGAAACAGAAGGCAGUCCUUGUAAAUUUUGACAAAGCCAAUGGCACAGUAGCUUUUUGUGAAAGCUCAAGUUCAUUACCUCUGUCUAAAUUAUCAUUUUCAAAUCUCAGAAAACAGUUAACUUUUUAGUUGAAUCACCACAUACAAUUUGAAUAAGGAGAAUAUUUGAGGACCAUGUAUUAUCCUUGAACUGAUAAAAUGUAAUUCAUUUCAGUUUCUUAUAUUUUCACCCCAUUUAGCUUUUUCAAGCAGAAAUUUCAUAAAGUAAUUACUUACCACUUUAACAGCAGAACUAUCAUGUUCUCAUUUAGGAAUUUUUGAAAACAUUGUUCACGUAUUUUACUCGUGUUAGUUCCCAAUGUAUUUUCCCUAAUUGCUGAAGCAUAACACCAGGGUUGUUUGCAGGGUGAAAAUUUAGCACACACACUUUUAAAGAGAGUUAUUCAGAGUUAAAAGCUCUAAAUUGGAACUGGCCUCAUUUUUAGAUGGGAAGAAGAGUGAAUAAAAAGAUGCUUCUGUAGAAAGUGACUGACCUUCCCACAUUAAAAAAAAAAAGUCUCUCUUCAUAGUCUCCCUUUUUUUCCUGUCUACAAGGUAAAUGAGAUUUCUAAAUUUUAUUUCUCAAUUUCUAUUUUAUUUCUCAGUUCUGUUUCCUCACUUCCACAUUUAAAAUCUUGGUUGUUAGCCUAAUUACUGCCCAGAAGUUUGUUUCUCUUAUCAGGCAGAGCCUUAUAGACCUCUGAAAUCCCUUGGACUAUUCACCUGCCUUUGGAAAUUUGAGAAACCAAAGAAUUGAGUCUUGGCACCUUUAAUUUUGACCACUCAUUUAUAAGUAGAGGAAGACAGAUGAAUUUUUCACAUAAUUCUCAACAGAAACUAUCCUAAUUUGCUGAGGACUUCUCCAUCUAGUGAUAUUCAGUUCUCACUUUCUCUUUUAACUGGACUCUUCAUAUAAAUCUAACUUUUUUUGUUGUUUUUUAGGGCCACACAUGAGGUAUAUGGAAGUUUCCAGGCUAAGGGUGGAAUUGGAGCUGUAGCUGCUGGCCUAUGCCACAGUCACAGCAACAUGGGAUCUAAGCCACGUCUGCAACCUACAACAUAUCUCACAGCAAUGCUGGAUCCUUAACCCAAUGAGCAAGGCCAGGGAUGGAACCCAAGUCCUCAUAGAUACUAGUUGGGUUCAUUACCACUGAGCCACGAUGUGAACUCCUUUUUUUUCCCCAAUGCCAAGUGUUUCACAUCCCACUUCUGAGGAUAGCUACAGCAUUUCUAGUGUACUACACAUUUACACAGGAAGAUAAUAUACAGAUUAAAUAUAAUUUAUUAGCCAAGUAUGCAAAAUAGUGUUGGAAUUAAUAUGGACAUACCAAGAAGGAAGGAAGAGAGUUUGCGGGCUUCAAUUUCCUGGUCCAAAGAUCUACAGUGGCAUAGCGAUGGAAAGGGAUUCCUAAUGUCAGUGACACUGUGCAUAUGAAGUCAUGUCUUUCUGGAUCUGUGAAGCUCCAUCUGCAAAUGUCACUGCCACUUUAUACUUGAAGCUAGCAUCAUCACUCUAGAAGUUGAAAGUAAGUUAUCUAAUAUGCAUAGAGAGAAUAUACUAUAUUGACUAUCUAUCUGUUAUGUGAUUUUAAGCUAUUUUUUACAAACACGGAAUUUCCUUGAGUUUUGUGCCUAACCUGAAUUUAGCAGAGCCACAUCCUCAUCUGAUAGAAGAAAGAAGAGUCAAAACCCAUGUGUUUCUUUCCCAAUUUCCAACAUUCUGAAAACCAUGUUUCCUUAACUUCUUAUUGUUCUCAUAACUUACCAGUAAUGCAAAGAGGGAAAAAAAUUACAAAUGUUUUGUGUAUCUGAAAUUAACAAUGAAAUCUCAUAUAUUACAAACUUCCAAAUAGUAAUUUCCUGGACAACUAUCUUUCAAUUUUAAACAAUUAUUUUUCUUUGUUUUUGAGGAGAAAAUUAAUCUAUGCAUUUCAUCCUAUGCUCAUUGUUAUCCAAAAGAAAUAUCUAUAUAUGACUAGUUAAAUAUUCUCAUUAAAUGCUAUACUUCUCUAAGAAAUUGCUUUAUAUAUAAAACUGCCCUGGUAUACCCACCAAAAAAUUCUUUAAAAUUAUAUUAAUCCUCAUCAGAAUGCAUCUUUGGAAACAUAAUUUGAUAAAAACAUUUAAACAAAAGCAAAUCUUCAUAGUCUUUCUAGAUAAUAUAGUUUCACUUGAAAAGGUUUAUCUCAUGGAGAGAUGAGCCUUAGAGAAAUAAUUUAGCAGUGAAUAUUUCAAGAUCAGUGACACAUCUGUAAGAAAGAAGUAUUGUUGAUUUUCACUUUCAGCACUCCUCAGAUGUGGCAAUAGAUGGUUGCUAAUUUUACACAUAAGGUGUAUUAAACCCAACACUAAUUUAGGAAACCACAAAUUAAAAGGCUAAAGCUACCAACAAUUAUAAAAGUGUGACACCGGAAUAGAACAGAAAGUUCAGAUAAAGAUUUAUACAUAUACUUAUUUCUAAAGUAUUAAAUAUGGAUUUUUUAACAUGUAAAAAAAAAACUGGCUAACAUUCUAGAAAAAAAUUAUAAAUUUACAUUCCCAUUGGCACUGGUAUUCAUGCUAGCUGUAUUAAAUGUUUUGAUAUAAAAAAUAAAACUAUAAGGGAAUUAAAUGUAAAUUUUAUAUACAUAUUAAUUAAUCUUGAAUGAUAAAGUUAUAAAAACAAUAUAAAAAUAAAACUCUGGACAUGUAAUAAUUUUAUUAUAUAGAAAUUCAAUUAUAAAAUUAUAUUUUGCAAGACUAAAACACUCUAAACUAAAAUAAAAGUACAAAGCAAAAAUUUUCACCAUGCUCUAGAGACAAAGCUUUCAUAUCUUUAAUACGUAAAGAUAAUGGUAAUAUAAAUUAGAAGAUAAAAAUAUUGAUCCAAUAAAAUAAUAUAAUGUUCUAGGCAAGUUAUGAAAUAAGUAACAUGAAAGGUUGCUAUACAUAUUGGGUAGAAUACUAAAAUCUUCCAAUAAUAAACAAUUGCAAAUUAAACAGCAAGAGCAAUAAAGUGCUCACUUUGAAAAUUUUUAUACCAAAGGGCAGCACUAAUAACCAAUGCAAGCAAUAGUAUGAAGACAGACCCUUUGUAGACUUUCAUAACAUACAAUCUUUGGAGAAAAAAAAAAAACAUUAAAUUUUUUUCUUACUCUUAUACCUAAAAAUGUCCCUGUAGAAAAAUACACUAAGACAAUAUUAAACAGGUGAGGAGCAUAAAAUGAGUAGCAUUUUCUUAACAACUGGAAGGUUUUAGACGUGUGUUAUUCCCCAACGGCUAAGCUCUUUGAGGAGCAUCUAUUAAGCAUGUUUUAUAAACUAAGCCCUGUUUUAAACUCUAUACGCACCAAGGUAAAUAAGACAGUGCAUGAUUGGAGGCACCUUAAAAUUUACAUAUGUAAAAUAUGUAUAUGUGGGGAGUAUCUGUUAUAACAUUCAUUUAAGUUUACUAAAUGUCUGUUCUAUCUUGUAAUAGCACUAGGGAAGUGUUCAUAUUAUUGAAAUAGCCUGUAGUCCAGUCCAUCUUAGCCAGAAGUGGGUUUGUUUGGCCUUUUGUUCUAUUUUUUUGUUUUUGUGUUUUACCAUCUCCUAAUCUAUGUUGCUAUGUGUGGUAUUCAGGGUCCAUGAUGGUCCCCAAUGGUUCUGACAUUCCUGUCCAGACUUCCCUCCCUUCCUGAACUGCAAUCAGUACAGUAUUACAGAAAUGAUGGUGU